AGCUUUGCGCAGUGGCAAUAUUGUAGCCAAUGAGGUAUACCCAAGGUGCGAUUAUUGCUAAUUGAAAACUUUUCAACAAAAAA
rnacentral:snRNA from 1 species